rnacentral:lncRNA from 1 species
AACCUUACAAUUACAAAUGAUUUUCUCUUAAUCACACUUAGGGUUUCAAUUUCAACCUUCUUAAAUAUCUCAUAGUAGUAUCACACAUUCUUCUCAUCUUCUUUUCCAUGUAGGUCUCGCCUAUUCUACUCUAAUAAGUCCUCUAUUAUGGUUUUUCUUUUUUAUCUUUUAUGUUACUAUUUUCUCUUCCAAUUACGUUUUUAUUGCACUUUUCUUCUCAAUCUCGCAUCUCUUAUGUUCUUUUUUUCAUCUUCUCUAAUCUCUCAUCUCAUAU